UAGGCGAAUUAGUUUAUCUAUGUAUAAUGCUGUAUUUGAUCCCAACAUGUUUUAAAAUAAUCUACUGUACUCUGACACUAAAUAAAUGUUUGAAGAUUAUUGACAAGAGGGUUAUUUAAUGAUGAGAUUGUUUUAGAUAUCAUUUGAAAAUAUAGGCACUGUAAGCAAUGCUGAAUCUAAUUAUUUCUUUGCAAAACCUAAUUAGGCAUUAAAAAGGUUAACCCCAGCGCCUGAAACCGUUUUUGUUUAAUAAUCCCAUUACUGACGGCUCAUCAUGUAUAAAAUGGUGCUGAAAGGACACUAAGUUUCCACUUGUUUAAGUGAAUCUCAUAGAAAUAGUCGAGACAAAACACACCACUUUUGACAAGAUCUGAGAUGAGAAAGCAGGAGGACAUCGUCACAAGUUUCCUGGAAGGGUGCUGCAGUGCAUUGGAGGCCUGUCUCCGCUCUGAUAGGAGGGUGCUGCAGUGCAUUGGAGGCCUGUCUCCGCUGUGAUAGCAGCCCUGGAGCCUAGAUGAUUGAUGAAGGCGAGGGCAAGGCCGAGCGCUGGCAGCAUAAAGCCCCAUAGACGCAUCAAUAAAGCCUGGCUAGUGGAGGGCCUGGGCCUGCUCAAUAGCCACCGCCUACGAGGAUUCAGGCAAGCAAGCGGAGAGGGGAAGGUGCUCUGUUGUUCCCUAAUCCGUUUAGCCAUUGAGCCACCAGCCGUCUGAGGCUGGAUAAGUGCAGCGACGGAUGUGUGCGGGGGUGAAAAUAGCAGGGAGUGGAGGGCUGGAGAGGACCCGCGGGGGGAGAUAUAGUGGGACGCAUACAGUUCACACACAACUGAUUGAAGGAUAGAGGGAGAGGGAGAUGGAGAAAGAGGCUGAUGAUUACCCAGCUUCCUCCAGGGUAGAAGGGAAGGGUAGAGCCAGCCAUCAUGGGUUGGUGGGUGAGGGAAUAAUGGUUGGUUAGUGUGCAUUUAUUUCAUUGAUUGCAUACCGGACAGUACAGGUGUUUGUAAUUGCUUGAGUAUGUAACACAUAUUAUUUAUCUUAACAUGUUAUGACAAAGUUCAGUUCUAAUCUAACCAAAAAGGCAUAUACUCCUCAGGCAAUAUACUGGAGAAAACACAGAGGCAAAACGAGAACAUCUUGGACAAUAGUUCAAGAGUUAUUUCCCUUCAUGCACAUCUAUAAGCAAGAAUUCCAAACAGGCACCAGCUAAUCAAAAGGCCUUUUUAAAAGUAUUACACUUGCACCAAGCAACAGGAGCCCAAUUGGUCAGCCAUUGACCCCUGCUCCACAGACCCCUACCCCACUGAAGCUUAGGGAAUCCCUGUCAUUCUAAAAAUGCAUUUGUCCAGUGUGUCCACCACAGUGGCCAGCCAGACCUCAUGCAGGCCAUAGUAACUCCAGUGUACCACAUUCCUCAAUGGCACAAUUAGGCUGCAAUCAUCUCCUACCAAGCCAGCUUUUCACUGACCCCAGGCCCAGUGCAGCUACACGGUACCCUGCAGCACGGCCUGGUUGGAGAUGGAGGGAAGAGAAGGAGGGAGGGAGGAGGGAGAGUGAUGGGGCCUGUGCCCUAUGGCUCCAGUCUGCCCUAUGACACUCACUCCCAGCAGGCCUCAGAUGUUAGUAGAAUGGACAUUUCCAAUCAAAGCAAUGUCCCAUGAUAGCGGGACUAUCUGGACAUUCUAUUUCUAUGUCUCAGCUGAGCUCUCCACUGAUCCCUCUACCUCAGCCACUCUCCGACCCAUGCAAUUUCAUAAAAAGGGGCAAUUCAACCCGAAAUCCAAGUUUCUAAGAUGAUGAUGUUUCCAGUCAUUUGGGGUUGAUGUCUACAGAUUUAUCCUAAUUAAUGUAUGAUGUAGAAGGAUACAUCUGGUAUGUUUUAAAUUUUUUAAUUUGUUUAUAUCUUAGAGAGGAUGACCGUUUUGAAGAUAUGUUUUCUCGAAAAAUGUUCUAAAAACGAAUUUGUUGUGUCUGUAUUAACUACAAGUAUAUGUAGCCUAAUAAAAAUAAUUUUCAUAUAAACUGUGUAGUUAUUUUGUCAUCAUCAGCACCCUAGCUAACAAAAAAUGGCAUACCAAACCAUGUUAAAGCAGUCAUUCA
rnacentral:lncRNA from 1 species